GAGCGAGAAAGUGGAGCAAUCCAUGAGUACAGCGGCGCACGGGUGAGUAACACGUGACUAACCUACCCUCGAGUGGGGAAUAACUUCGGGAAACCGAGGCUAAUACCGCAUAAUACCCACGGGUCAAAGGAGCAAUCCGCUUGAGGAGGGGGUCGCGGCCGAUUAGCUAGUUGGCGGGGUAACGGCCCACCAAGGCCAUGAUCGGUAGCCGGCCUGAGAGGGCGCACGGCCACACUGGAACUGAAACACGGUCCAGACUCCUACGGGAGGCAGCAGUGGGGAAUUUUGCGCAAUGGGGGAAACCCUGACGCAGCAACGCCGCGUGGAGGAUGAAGCCCCUUGGGGUGUAAACUCCUUUCGAUCGGGACGAUAAUGACGGUACCGGAUGAAGAAGCACCGGCUAACUCUGUG
rnacentral:rRNA from 1 species